ensembl:lncRNA
GUUUGCGCCAGUCUGAGCCACGCAUGCGCAGCGAGUGCGGGCGCAGCUUCGCCGUGGUUUCGGUUGAGAAUUCUUGGCAACGUCUCGCUCGGUGAACAGGCAGCAGACCGUCGGGCAACGGCAGUUUCCACAAUGUCUGGAGGAUUAUUUUAACGGAGAUGGAAGUGAGCGGAAACCCUGGAGGAGCGAAAGAGUUCGUAGACAUAGGCUGCUUUGAUCAAGGAAGACAGUUGGAGAGAGGACUGCAGAUUGAAUCAAAGCCAUCUCCAUCCUUAAGGAAGCUGCCCUAUUCUGAGGCUAUAAGGCACGGCAUGACCAGGCCUGGCACAGUAUGGUUGGUUAAACAGAUGGCACAGUGCAGAGUGAAAAACCGGGCCGCCUCUGCCUACACAGUGACAUCAGACGUCACCACAAGCUUCGCCUGCAUAGCUGAGGGCAGAAAAGGUCUGCCUGCAUUGCUUUGACAUACCAGUGAGCAGCACCUCCUC